GGUAGAACUAACAAGGAUUCCCCUAGUAACGGCGAGUGAACAGGGAAGAGCUCAAAUUUGUAAUCUGGCGUCCUUUGGGCGUCCGAGUUGUAAUCUAUAGAAGCGUUUUCCGUGCUGGACCAUGUCCAAGUCCCUUGGAACAGGGUAUCAAAGAGGGUGAUAAUCCCGUACUUGACAUGACGACCAGUGCUCUGUGAUACGUUUUCUACGAGUCGAGUUGUUUGGGAAUGCAGCUCAAAAUGGGUGGUGAGUUCCAUCUAAAGCUAAAUAUUGGCGAGAGACCGAUAGCGAACAAGUACCGUGAGGGAAAGAUGAAAAGCACUUUGGAAAGAGAGUUAAACAGUACGUGAAAUUGUUGAAAGGGAAACGAUUGAAGUCAGUCGUGUCCAUGGGGUUCAGCCGGUUAUGCCGGUGUAUUCCCCUUGGACGGGUCAACAUCAGUUUGGACCGGUGGAAAAGGGUAGUUGGAAGGUAGCAGCUCCGGCUGUGUUAUAGACUUCUACCGCAUACACUGGUUCAGACUGAGGCAUGCAGCUCGCCCUUGUGGCCGGGGUUUACCUACGUACGAGCUUAGGAUGUUGACAUAAUGGCUUUAAACGAC
rnacentral:rRNA from 1 species